UACAGAGGCCCCAAGCGUUACUGAGAAUCACUGGGUUUAAAGGGGGCGUAGGUGGCGCGUUAAGUUCGUUGUGAAAUCCCUGGGCUCAACCCAGGAAUUGCUUCGAAUACUGGCGUGCUUGAGGCUAGUAGGGGUCACUGGAACUGACGGUGGAGCGGUGAAAUGCGUAGAUAUCGUCAGGAACGCCGAUGGUGAAGACAGGUGACUGGGCUAGUUCUGACACUGAGGCACGAAAGCGUGGGGAGCGAACGGG
rnacentral:rRNA from 1 species